UGGGUAGAUCACAUAUACCAAGGUGUCAUGU
rnacentral:piRNA from 1 species